AUACAACAUUUCGCUGUGGUCCUCGAAUCUGAUUGGACAAGCUACGUUCCAAAAGUGCUGAAAUACAGUCCAACAGCACUGGGAUGCUUCACUAUUUGUGUCACUCUACUUCUCCAUGGUUGUGGCUUUCCAAAUAAUGUGAUGGCGGAGGGAGACUUGAAAAGCCACACCGACGCAGAAGUUUGGGGAGAGAGAGAGAGAGAGCGACCCAAGAGCAUGGUGUCAGCAUGUACUGAGUGCAUUAAAAGUUUAUGUUAUCUUAUUGAGUGUUGUGAAGAAUCUACGUGAAUUGAGUGACGUUAAAUACGCUGAAGGCAGAAAAUAAAAGACUUGCCUGCACUGCUUCGUUGUCUCAUGACUCCUCCCUUGCCCAAAGAACCGAACUUUCCACAUGUUACUCUGGUGCUGAAACCCAGAAAAGGUGGAAGGACACGCUGUCCAGGAGAACUCACCGCUGCCGUCCACCAGGAAACAAAGAAGCCGUUGUUGUCCACAAGGAAACGAAGGACUCGCUGCCAUCCGUCGGGAGGUGGAAGAACUGCUGCCGUCUGCCAGGGGAUGAAGGAGCAACUGUCGUCCACCAAGGGGCGGAGGAGCGGCUCUGCCCCCUGGUGCCUGAGGGAGCCGAAGAAGAGCGUUUCUUUUCUCUCUCUCUCCUCACUCUUUUGUCUCUCCCGCUUGCUCUUUCUCUCUCCCCCUCCCUCCCUUCGUCUCUCUCAGAUUCUCAGGAGGUGGGGAUGACCAUCAAGUGGCUGAACAGCCAGAAGGGCAGCAUCUACCCUCCAGAGAGCCAGUCCGGAUGGUGCCCCGGCCUGAAUCGAGCAGUGGAGGAGUGUGACGAGGAGGAGGGCGUGGCCGGGCCGUGAGGAUACAUGCGUGGCGCUGAGUUGCCUAAUAAGCGGGAGGGAGAUAAGGGAAGAGCUGGGGAUGCCAGAGAGAGAGAGAGAGAGAGAGAGAGAGAGACACGCGGCCACUCUGUGUGUGUGUUUAUGCUGAUGUGUUUUCAAUUUGAUGUUCUGUUUGAUUAAAGUUUUGUUGUUUGUUACUCUGGUUCCCGCAUCCACCUUUCCCGAACUGUUACACAGGCCAAAUUGUAUGUGAAAUGCAAGUUACUCAAUAACUUCUUGUUUGGACAUCACUUCCUGUUCAUGCUGGCGCCUAGCUCAAGUCUGUUUUUGUAGCCUGCUAGCUUUUUUUUUUAAUUUUUUUUUUUUUUAAACAUCGCUUAUCUAUCUGUUUUCAGCUUUUAAUCUUUAAUAUCUGCCAUCUUUCAGUGCGCAUCAGGUUUUCCCCCGCAUUAUUCUCUUAUCGUGAUUCAACUGCAUGCAUUUUUACGCGUGCAUCUGCUUUCUAUAUUUAUCGUGAUUAAACUGCGUGCGUUUUACAGCGCGCACCCGUUUUCUCCUCUGUGUUACACAGAUUAUUGCAUCAAUCUCAAAGCACCGCUUAUCAAGAACAACCAUAACAACAAACAACUGCAUGAGGGAGUCACACUGAUCUCAAACCCUCGCCACUCAGGAACAACCAACAACAACAAACAACUGCGGUAAGUCAUGGCAUCCGCUCAUAUUAUUGCUUCCUUCAUUACAUGCCACAUGUUUACUAUAGCUUCUUCCAUCAGCAAUGAGGGAUUCACAUGAGACAAAUGUAAGGAAUUAGUCAGGCUGACGGAGAAGGUUAAUGAGUUAGAGACCUGCAUCCAAACGCUAGUGGAGGUCAGUGAGAAAGAGAAGGCGGUAGAUACUGUUUCGGAUGCGGGUAGUACAGCGAGCAACUCACACACUUUGGUUCCGGCUCUAGAGCCCCCGCAGCAGGGCUUUUGGGUGACGUCUUGCUGGCAUACUCACUCAGCAAAGUGACACGACUCUCCCAUUCCUGUUAGGGUUUACAAUCGAUUCUCCCCACUCAAUGAUACACCCACUGACAAUCAUGUUGAAAGAGCCUUGGGCAUAGGUGAUUCUAUUGUAAGGAACGUCAAAAUAGAGACUCCAGCCACCAUCGUUAAAUUCAUUUCAGGUGCCAGAGCAUCUGACAUCAGAUCAAAUUUACAAGUGCUGGCUAAUGCUAAAGGAAGAUUUAAAAAAAAAAAAUGUAUUCAAGUCGGCACUGUCUGGCUUUGCCAGUCGGAGAUCACUAGAGAUAAUGUUAAAGAGGUGUGUGAACUUGCAAGAACGAUGUCAAACACUGUAAUAUGCUCUGGCCCCCUCCCUGCUCAUCAUGGUGAUGAGGUUUACAGUAGAUUAGUGUCACUGAAUGGCUGGAUGUCUGAGUGGUGUCUGGAGAAUAGCAUAGGAUUUAUAGACUACUGGAAGAGUUUUUGGGGUAGACCUGACCUUCUAAAGAGAGACGGACUCCAUCCCUCCAGGGAAGGUGCCCCUCUCCUCUCUAGUAAUUUGGCUUAUAGUCUUAAUAGUGAUAGUAUUUGACUAACUGGGGCCCAGGUAAGGAAGCAGACAAACUGGCUAAUCCGAACAUCUGCUAGCUACCUUGAGACGUCACACAGGUCACAUAAACUACAACACAGAGACCGUGUCUGUUUCCCAAACUACCAAACACAAACCCCUCACUAAAUCACUUAGAAAAUAAAAAAAUGAAGAUAAAGAUAGGGCUAUUAAACAUUAGAUCUCUUUCAACCAAAGCACUAAUUGCAAAUUAAAUUAUUACAGAUCAUAGUUUGGAUGUGCUCUGUUUGACUGAACCUGGCUUAAACCGGAUGAAUAUAUUAGUUUAAAUGAAUCUACUCCCCCAGGUUAUUGUUAUUAAAAUCAGUCUCAUCUGAAGGGUCGAGGAGGAGGUGUUGCUACAAUUUACAGUGAUGUUUUUGGUGUUACUCAGAGGACAGGAUAUAAGUUUAAGUCUUUUGAACUAAUAAUGCUUAAUGUAACAUCGUCAGAUAUAAAUAAAAAAUCUCUGUCGUCUUUUACCCUUGCUACAGUAUAUAGAUCAACCGGGCCUUAUUCUGAUUUCCUUGGUGAAUUUGCUAAUUUUCUAUCAGAUCUAGCAGUUACUGUAGAUAGAGCUUUAAUUGUUGGUGACUUCAACAUUCACACAGAUAACGAAAAUGACACAACGGGAUUAGUAUUUACUGAUAUUCUCAACUCACUUGGAGUCAGACAAAAUGUGACAGGACAACUCAUCGCCAUAAUCAUAUGCUAGAUUUAAUUCUGUCAUAUGGAGUUGAUACUACAGAAAUUCUACCGCAGAGCAAUGACAUCUCAGAUCAUUACCUCGUCUCUUGUAUGCUGCGAUCAGCUAAUGUUACUCAAUCUACACCAUGCUAUUCGACCACUAAAGGUAGCUUCACUAAUAAUCUUCCAGAUCUAUCUCAUACUCAGUAAGCCCCAAAGUCUAGAAGAACUUGAUGAAGUAACAGAAAAUAUAAAUACAGUCUUCACUAGCACUCUUGAUUGUGUCGCCCCCCUUCGAUUAAAGAAAAUUAAAGAAAAAAGCCCCGAACCAUGGUACAAUGAUCACACUCAUGCUCUCAAGAGAGCAGCUUGGAAAAUGGAGUGCAAGUGGAAGAAUACAAAAUUAGAGGUAUUUUGCGGUGCAUGGAAGAAUAGUGUCUGAAGCUACAGACAGGCACUAAAAGCUGCCAGGUCAGCAUAUUUUAGCAAACUCAGAGAAAAUAACCACAACAAUCCUAGGUGUUUAUUCAGUACUGUGGCAUAGUUGAUUAGGAAUAAAUCCUCAACUGAACCAGAUAUUCCGUCGCAGCACAAUAGUAAUGACUUCAUGAAUUUCUUUACUAAUAAAAUUGAAAUAAUCAGAAAUAAAAUUGAAAGUAUGCAAUCAUCUGUCACAGUACCUCAGAAAACAGUGUCUCAUAACUUUCCUCACGUGCAACUUCAAUCCUUCGCUGUCAUAGGUCAUGAAGAGCUAACAAAACUUAUCGAAACAUCAAAAGCCACAACAUGCAUGUUAGAUCCAAUACCAACUAAGCUCUUAAAAGAGGUAUUGCCUGUAAUCUCAGAACCUCUUCUUAAUAUUAUUAACUCCUAACACUAUUCGGGACACAGACAUACUUACUGAGUUUAAGUCUAGACUAAAGACACAUCUAUUUAGUCAGGCAUACACCUAAUUUAUUCUUCACCACACAAUUAGGCUGCUUUAGUUAGGUCUGCCUGAACCUGAAACAUUGAUCAUGAUCUAUAACUCUGCAAAAAAUGUAAUGGCAUCUACGCUAAUAUUAUUCUAUUUAUUUCCAUGUCUCAACCGAGGUCACCAGAACCGGCCGGAUCCAGCUCGAUUCCUGCUUGAUAUCGGACUCCACUGCUACGUGUCUCUGAGUGAUGACGACAAAAUGCAGCCGGUGUCAGCCAGACAUCACUUCAGUCUAUUAUCAUAGACUAUCAAUAAUCUGCCAACAAAAGCCUUCAUCAGCCAACUAACAAAGAACAAUGUAUCUGUAUGAACUUCUGCAGCUAAUCCAGGAUGAACUUCAAAGACAUUAGUCAUUAAUCUUACAGUUACUUAACACUUACUUAAUCAUUUUAAACCAUGACUUGCACUGCACAUAAAUAAGUAAUAUUGGUAUUAUAUUCAUGCUGUUUAGCCAGAGGGGAACUGGCCCCCACAGUGAGCCUGGUUUCUCCCAAGGUUAUUUUUCUCCAUUAACCAACACCUUAUGGAGUUUUGUGUUCCUUGCCACAGUCACCUUUAGCUUGCUCACUGGGAUUCUAAAUACAGUUAUUAUUUAAUUACUUAUUUUUAUACACAAUUAAUAAUCAUAUUUAAUCAAACUACACAAUGAUGACUUUAUAGAUAUUACAGUUUCAUUUUCUGUUAAUGCAUGAUUUUCUGUAAAGCUGCUUUAAAACAAUGUGUGUUGUGAAAGGCGCUAUACAAAAAAAAAAUUCUUGACUUGUUUAUAUAACUGUUGAAUAAAAGCAACAUCACAUUAGCUAAUCCUGCUGCUGCACUAAAUAUCAGCAAGCCUGUGAUUUACCAGCGCUACUCGGCCUGCAGCCAAAUCACAGCCACGAGUACAUCAGCACCCCUACUGGUGUGAUAUUGCUUUACUGUAUCGAUAAUUAGUAUACUGUGGCGGAUCGACCCACACCUCCCUCAUGUCAUCAUCAUCCAACCUCUUCUAAAGGCUGUAGGACGCCUACAAUAGUAGUGGGCAGGAGAAGGGAGACACACAAUUUAAUAAGACUAAUUUGACAGCGAAAAAUGAGGCGCUAGAAACUCAGAAAGCCGGAUUCUGUCUCCUUGUGUGCACACACUGCCGUCCUCUCAGUGAUUAGAGCGGUUAGGGUACCUGCCAAAUUAGACGCGCUACCGGACCUGCUCCCCCGGAACCCCAGCAUGAGUUAAAUGUGUUGCUGGGGAUGACAGUGUAACGGUAGCCAGCUGGUAUGUGAUAGCUGUGCAGUGUGUAAACCUCACUCUUCUGGCCUUAAGAGAUGCACUAGUGACCGAGGCUAAAGCCAUGGCUGUUCUAGCCUCCUUGCUAGCACGUCCGACUCCCAUGCCGGGGAUCGCCGGUUCGAAUCCUGCUCGGGGAGGGUCGAGCAGGGACGGUGACAACAGCACGCAUUGCGACAGAUGGGCUAUGAAGCCUGAUUGUCCAUCCCCUCACAUGCCGCGACCCCCGGAAAGACAUGGUGCCACAGAAGCCGCCGCCCCUUGCACCCAGGAACCUAGGAGGGGAGCACGUGUUACCACUGGACCCCGCCCAUAUCCUGGACCAUCCCAUGAGCACUCCCUGACCUACACAAAGCUCCCUUCUCACUGCGAGGAUGCCAGAUUCCCCAUUUCUUUUGGACACUUUCCCCGAAGACACUUUAUUCCACUUCUGAACAUUUAUAUUGUUUAUUGUUUAAAAGAAAGGCCUCUCCGAGGCCUGACACCACGCCCAUUGUGUCUUGUAACAUGGUAAUGCAAGAGUA